GAUGAACGCUGGCGGCGUGCUUAACACAUGCAAGUCGAACGGAGUUAAUCAGUGGAAGCCUUCGGGUGGAAGCUGGUUAACUUAGUGGCGGACGGGUGAGUAACGCGUGGGUAACCUGCCUUAUACAGGGGGAUAACAGUUGGAAACGACUGCUAAUACCGCAUAAGCGCACAGUGCUGCAUGGCACCGUGUGAAAAGAUUUAUCGGUAUAAGAUGGACCCGCGUCUGAUUAGCUAGUUGGUGAGGUAACGGCUCACCAAGGCGACGAUCAGUAGCCGGCUUGAGAGAGUGAACGGCCACAUUGGGACUGAGACACGGCCCAAACUCCUACGGGAGGCAGCAGUGGGGAAUAUUGCACAAUGGGGGAAACCCUGAUGCAGCGACGCCGCGUGAGUGAAGAAGUAUUUCGGUAUGUAAAGCUCUAUCAGCAGGGACGAUAAUGACGGUACCUGACUAAGAAGCCCCGGCUAACUACGUG
rnacentral:rRNA from 1 species